rnacentral:rRNA from 1 species
CCCUUAGACGUUCUGGGCCGCACGCGCGCUACACUGACGAAGGCAACGAGCUACUCUUCACCGAAAGGUGUGGGUAAUCUUUUGAAACUUCGUCGUGCUGGGGAUAGAUCCUUGCAAUUUUUGAUCUUAAACGAGGAAUUCCUAGUAAGCACAAGUCAUCAACUUGCGUUGAUUACGUCCCUGCCCUUUGUACACACCGCCCGUCGCUACUACCGAUUGAAUGGUUUAGUGAGGCCUUCGGAUCCGCGAUUUUAUUGUGGAGAAGUUGGACAAACUCAGUCAUUUAGAGGAAGUAAAAGUCGUAACA